GUAAGGGCAAACGAGCUGGAGGCAAGUUGUCUGUCUCAAUCUGAACAAAUUAACAGAUUGCAAGAAAAACUUACUUUUGCGGAGAAGAGAUUAGAGAUGUCCGACAUGUCAGCACUCGAAACCAGAUCAGAAUAUGAGGAGCAAAAGAAAGUAAUUUUUGAUUUGCGUCAGCGUCUUGUUGAUGCAGAAACAAAAGUUGUGGAAGGAGAGAAACUUCGGAAAAAAUUGCACAACACUAUACUGGAAUUGAAAGGCAA
rnacentral:misc_RNA from 1 species